GAUAGAUUUUUUUUCAGUCUUCUAAACUGAUUUUGAGGUAUCUCGUCUAUUU
rnacentral:tRNA from 1 species